UAUUGUUUGGUACUUAAAGCGAGGUUGCCCUUUGUAUAUUCGGUUUAUUGACAUGGAAUAUACAAGGGCAAGCUCUCUGUGAGUAUCAAA
ensembl:miRNA Mir381 microRNA mir-381